AGAGUAAGCCUGUAGUAAGUGAAAUUUUCUCAGAAAGACUGUCUCCUCCAUCCACAAGUGUCUUGUCUUCUGAGUGUUCAGAGAUUCAAUGUGCUUCAAUAGAGAGCAAGGCUACAGUAACUAGAGUGUUUCCAGAAAGAUUGUCUCCCACCACAAAUAUCUUUUCCUCUCUGGAUUAUAUAGUUGUGUUGAUUUUUUCAUUCCUAAAACACAAAAUACCAUUCGUC
rnacentral:lncRNA from 1 species